UACGGAGGGGGCGAGCGUUAUUCGGAUUCAUUGGGCGUAAAGGGUGCGUAGGUGGCGAGGUUAGUCAGGUGUGAAAUCUCGGGGCUCAACCCCGAAACUGCACUUGAUACUGCCUUGCUAGAGUACUGGAGAGGAGAUUGGAAUUUACGGUGUAGCAGUGAAAUGCGUAGAUAUCGUAAGGAAGACCAGUGGCGAAGGCGAAUCUCUGGACAGUUACUGACACUGAGGCACGAAGGCCAGGGGAGCAAACGGG
rnacentral:rRNA from 1 species